rnacentral:rRNA from 1 species
GUCCUUUUGUUUUAUAUUUAAGGUUUAACCUGCCCACUGAAUAAAUUUUAAAUGGCCGCAGUAUUUUGACUGUGCAAAGGUAGCAUAAUCAUUAGUUUUUUAAUUAGAAGCUUGUAUGAAAGGUUGGACGAGGUAAAAUCUGUCUCUAUUUAAUUUAAUAUAGAAUUUAAUUUUUAAGUUAAAAAGCUUAAAUUUUUUUAAAAGACGAGAAGACCCUAUAGAUCUUUAUAUUUAAUAUUUUUAUUUAAAUUUAGUUUUAUUAAAAUUUUAUUAUAUUAAAUAUUUUAUUGGGGUAAUAAGAAGAUUAAAAUAAUUCUUUUAUUUUGUUAACAUUAAUUUAUGUAUAAAUGAUCCAGUUUUAUUGAUUAUAAGAUUAAGUUACCUUAGGGAUAACAGCGUAAUUUUUUUAAAGAGUUCAUAUCGAUAAAAAAGUUUGCGACCUCGAUGUUGGAUUAAAGAUUAAUUUAGGUGUAGAAGUUUAAAUUUUUGGUCUGUUCGACCAUUGAAUCUUUACAUGAUCUGAGUUCAGACCGGUGUAAGCCAGGUCGGUUUCUAUCUUUAAAAAUUUAAAAUAUUUUAGUACGAAAGGACCAAAUAUUUAAUAUAUACAUAUUUAUAAUAAUGAAUAUUAUUAAUUUAUUAUUUUGGCAGAUUAGUGCAAUGAAUUUAGAAUUCAUAUAUGUAAAUUAUUUUACAGAUAAUACUUGUUUUAUAAAGAUUUAAUAUUUUCUUUAAUUUGUAUAUUAUUAUUAAUUAUUUGUGUAUUA